rnacentral:lncRNA from 1 species
GGGCAGACUUGUGAUUGCCUGCAAUAGUGGAAUGCUGAGAGCUGUUGCCACCUUCUUCUGAGUUUACUGGUAAUAAGUAGGAUUCACAUGGUAACAGUUGCCCGUGGAACCAUUUUCACAGACAAAACUAUAACCAUAAGAUUACAUUCUUGACAUAGCCAAGUGCAAUUCUAAAAGUUUAUCUGGAAACUCAUUUUCUGAAGUUUCAACUUUAAUCUCCAAUUUUGUUGGAGUGGAGCUAAAUCCUCUGAUCAGCGUUACCAAAAUGCCAAUUUCCUCUGAUACUUCUCUAAAAGCAACUGCUGCUGGGAGCAAUCAGGCCUCUGAUGAGGGAUGGCAGUGUAAGAAAAUAAACAACUUGCUAAAACUGCUGAAACUCCCUCUGCUUGUGAGAUUUAAAAAAAAUGGAUGAAAUUGGUUGGAACCAACAUGGCCAAUGGAGUCUGAGUAGAAAGAGCUUGCUGACGUCACAGCCCGAAUUUCCACCACAUUUCAUACUAACUCCCCCUAAAUUUGCAUAUGCAAACCACGAGCAAGGAUGAUCAAACAGACAACUGCGCAUGUCCGAGGACUUUCCAGAUCUCCCCUUUCCUUCCACCAAUCACUUACUAAUCUGAGAAUCCAUCCCCUAAUAAAAUCACUGCCUUAAAACCUGCACAGGAAGACAAAUUUGAGCUGGACUUAGUGUCUCUUUAUUAGUCGACUUGCAAUAAAAAAGCUUUCUUUUCCC